rnacentral:sRNA from 1 species
CCACCGCACCUGGCCAAAUUCUUUAAUAUAUGUGCUUUUCCUUUUUGUCUGUGUGGUUGAGUCUUAUAGUUACUUUUCAUUGAUGUUGAGUAUUUUAGAUUUAAUAGAGUCACAAAAAAUUUUACCAAUUCCACGACAGCAUCUUGCCAAAACUUGUCAUUUAAAUAUACAUAAAUUUCCCUUUGGAGCCAGGUGCAGUGGCUCACGCCUGUAAUCCUAACACUUUGGGAAACUAAGGUAGGAGGAUUGCUUGAACCUGGGAGGUUGAGACUGCAGUGAGCCAUGAUCAUGCCACUGCAAUCCAGCCUGAGCCACAGAGUGAGACUCUGUCCCCAACUCCCCCCGAAAAAUUACCCUUAGAAUCCCUGCUUGCAACUUUUCUCCAGUGAGCGUACUAUUCAGUAGCCCACUAAAGACAAUUCAGUUUACCACAUGCAUUUUAUUUAGUGAAAUUAAUGAUUACUGUAAUCUCUAUUUUGAGUUUCAAGGUUUUAUGUGGAAUGUUAGGAAAAUUGGUCAAUGAAAUAUUAUAUAUUACCACUGGAGGGUAGUGUUUUCAAUUUCUAUUUUUACAAAUGAUCAAGUUGAAUUUAGUUGAUAGACUAAUCGUGUGCUUCUAUUUUAAAAAUAUUUUAUUUUCAUAAUAUCAAACAGGCCCUCAAAAGUUUGCAUAAUCACUUUGUGAUCCCCUCACACCCCCAUGCUAAUGAAUUUGUACCCCUUUUCUCUUUCUCCCAUGCUAGUACUAACCAGACCCGACCCUGCUUAGCUUCUGGGAUCAGACGAGAUUGGGCAUGUUCAGGGUGGCAUGGCCAUAGGUGCCUUUUCUCUUUCUUAAAAAAAAAAAAAAGUUUGCAUUAGUUACUCUAAUGGAGACAUUGAAUGGAUUAAUUUAUUUACUUUUUAAUUCAAAUUCUCCUUUUCUUUAGCCCAUUAUUCCUAUGUUUACACAAAAUAUUCGAGAAGGAUUUAGAUCACUUGGAGGAACAAGGUUAUUUAGGUGGCUUUAUGAGAAAUUCCGCUAUCCAUUUGCUCCAAUGUAUGGAGGUUUUCCAGUGAAGUUACGGACCUAUUUAGGUGACCCCAUUCCGUAUGACCCACAGAUAACAGCGGAACAAUUAGCUGAAAAGACAAAGAAUGCUGUUCAAGCUUUGAUUGAUAAGCACCAAAGAAUACCAGGAAACAUUAUGAGUGCUUUGUUAGAACGUUUUCAUUGAUAACAAAGGGUCAACUAGAAGAUGAUUUAGUACUUUUAUAUUAAAUGUUUGUAUCUAAGGUACUGUCUUCUGAAUUUUGUAGGUCCUAUAAUUAGUAUUUUUUUAAAAAAUCAUGUUAAUAAGCAUCUUUCACAGAAUUCAUUUCUUUAAAAUAGUCAAUUUUGUUUUUGCAAUUGUGUCAAAUACUAACAAAUUACACACCUAGUAAUUCAGAAAAAGAUAUCUUAUUUGUAAAUUCCUAACAAUGUAUGCUAAACAUAUAGAUUCUUAAGUUUAUUAAUAACAGCAGUAUAGGUUAAACAAACAUUCCUGGAUAAUGCGUUAAAUUUCUGUAUCUGUCGCCCUGAGCUGAUUUUGAAAGAUGGUAUAAGCUAGGGGUUAGUAUAGUUGUUUAAGUUAGAAAAAACAUGCUAUUGUCUGCCCCUCAUUCCCUUCAUGACCUUGGGCAAGUCACGUAAUGUUUUUGUGCCUCAACAAUUCACUUUUUAAAAACAUGAUCGUAUGGUGAAUGAUAUUAUUUUGUUAUUUAUAUUUGCUGUGAUUGAUAACUGUUGAACCAAAAUAAUAAAAUAAUUAAUUUAAACAAUGUCAAAAUCCUUUAGCAGUUAUGUAUAUAUUUUCUCCAUUGUGUGUUUAAAUUAUGUCAUGUCCAGUUGCCAAGCACAAUGAAAAAGAUGUAUUAUUUUUUAAAUUGAAUAAAAAAUUAGGAAAAAUAAAAUUUCUAAUUAUUAUUUUUAGUAUGAUAUUUUUAACAAGAGUCUAUAGGCAAACAAUAUAGGGUGUGCUGUGCAUUGUCAGCCCUAUACUAUGGUCUUAAUAAUGCCAGCUUAAAAAUCACUGUUGUGCUCUGCAUUUCGUGUGUUAGAAGCUGAUUCUAGGCUGAGGAAAGCAAGAGUUCUCUACUUUUGCUCAAUAUUGAGGCUUACCCAGUUUGACUGUACAGCCAGUGAAGUGGUUUAUUGCUUCAAUAAAAAUAUACUUGAAUGAUGAAUUUAUUUAUGUUUUGUUUUGUUUUUAUUUAGAGAUGGGGUUUUGCCAUGUUGGCCAGGCUGGUCUCGAACUCCUGACCUCAGGUGAUCCACCUGCCUCAGCCUCCCAACUUGCUGGGAUUACAGGUGUGAGCCACCAUGCCCAGCCUGAAUGAUGAAUUUAUGUGAACACAAAGCCCUCUGAAAAAUUAAUGAUUUUCAAUUUGUUGUCUUCUUGAAAACUGAAUUUAAGUAUUAUUUAAACAGAAAAGUGUCAGAAAUCAAAUGCAGUAUCUCCCUCUCCCUUUUUUAAAUGUUGAAUUAGUAGGGUUUUUGUAUAGCUUUUUGUAUUAUGUGUAUUUAUGAUAUGUGAAAUGUACAUAAAAUUAAACAAUGUGAAAAUAAA